GGCCCCUUCGGGGGUGCUCGAGCGGCGAACGGGUGAGUAACACGUGAGCAACCUGCCCUCCACUUCGGGAUAAGCCUGGGAAACCGGGUCUAAUACCGGAUAUGACCUGCUGCUGCAUGGUGGUGGGUGGAAAGGGUCCUGCUUUUGUGGGGUCUGGUGAGGGAUGGGCUCGCGGCCUAUCAGCUUGUUGGUGGGGUGAUGGCCUACCAAGGCGACGACGGGUAGCCGGCCUGAGAGGGCGACCGGCCACACUGGGACUGAGACACGGCCCAGACUCCUACGGGAGGCAGCAGUGGGGAAUCUUGCGCAAUGGGCGGAAGCCUGACGCAGCGACGCCGCGUGGGGGAUGAAGGCCUUCGGGUUGUAAACCUCUUUUACCACUCACGAAGGCCCCUGGUUUUCUGGGGGUUGACGGUAGGUGGUGAAUAAGGACCGGCUAACUACGUGCCAGCAGCCGCGGUAAUACGUAGGGUCCAAGCGUUGUCCGGAAUUAUUGGGCG
rnacentral:rRNA from 1 species